GACGAACGCUGGCGGCGUGCCUAAUACAUGCAAGUCGAGCGAAGUUUUUCUGGUGCUUGCACUAGAAAAACUUAGCGGCGAACGGGUGAGUAACACGUAAAGAACCUGCCUCAUAGACUGGGACAACUAUUGGAAACGAUAGCUAAUACCGGAUAACAGUAUUUCUCGCAUGAGAGAUAUUUAAAAGUUGGUUAUGCCAACACUAUGAGAUGGCUUUGCGGUGCAUUAGCUAGUUGGUGGGGUAAAGGCCCACCAAGGCGACGAUGCAUAGCCGACCUGAGAGGGUGAUCGGCCACACUGGGACUGAGACACGGCCCAGACUCCUACGGGAGGCAGCAGUAGGGAAUCUUCCGCAAUGGGCGAAAGCCUGACGGAGCAACGCCGCGUGAGUGAAGAAGGAUUUCGGUUCGUAAAGCUCUGUUGUUAGGGAAGAAUGGAUAUGUAGUAACUAUACAUGUAAGAGACGGUACCUAACCAGAAAGCCACGGCUAACUACGUG
rnacentral:rRNA from 1 species